AGCGAACGCUGGCGGCAGGCCUAACACAUGCAAGUCGAACGAACUCUUCGGAGUUAGUGGCGGACGGGUGAGUAACACGUGGGGACGUGCCUUUUGGUUCGGAAUAACUCAGGGAAACUUGUGCUAAUACCGAAUGUGCCCUUCGGGGGAAAGAUUUAUCGCCAUUAGAGCGGCCCGCGUCUGAUUAGCUAGUUGGUGAGGUAACGGCUCACCAAGGCGACGAUCAGUAGCUGGUCUGAGAGGAUGACCAGCCACACUGGGACUGAGCCACGGCCCAGACUCCUACGGGAGGCAGCAGUGGGGAAUCUUGCGCAAUGGGCGAAAGCCUGACGCAGCCAUGCCGCGUGAAUGAUGAAGGUCUUAGGAUUGUAAAAUUCUUUCACCGGGGACGAUAAUGACGGUACCCGGAGAAGAAGCCCCGGCUAACUUCGUG
rnacentral:rRNA from 1 species